rnacentral:rRNA from 1 species
GAUGAACGCUAGCUACAGGCUUAACACAUGCAAGUCGAGGGACCGGCGCAUGGGUGAGUAACACGUAUCCAACCUGCCCUUUACUCGGGGAUAGCCUUUCGAAAGAAAGAUUAAUACCCGAUGUAAAGGAUGGGGAUGCGUUCCAUUAGGUUGUUGGUGAGGUAACGGCUCACAAAGCCUUCGAUGGGUAGGGGUUCUGAGAGGAAGGUCCCCCACAAUGGAACUGAGACACGGUCCAAACGACUACGGGAGGCAUCAGGGAGGAAGAUUGGUCAAUGGGCGUUAGCCUGAACCAGCCAAGUAGCGUGAAGGAGGAAGGCUUAUGGGUCGUAAACUUCUUUUAUAUAAGAAUAUGUAUUAUAUUAAUAAGGAUCGGCUAACUCCGUGCCAGCCGCCGCGGUAAUUC